rnacentral:lncRNA from 1 species
UCCACAGGGAUAGGCUUUGUGGUCAGUUCAAAGCAAGCAGCAGAGUGUGCAAUCCUGCAUUUAUGUUCGCAUCAGGACCGUAUUGCAAAGUGGAUGCAGACAGUGGGAGUAUUGUUGCAUCGUCGCUGGAGUACCAGGAGAGUGUGGAUGGAAGCACGAGGUGAGCUAUCAGAGAAGAAAUGGGAAAGAAGAAAAUUCCCAGGCUUGACGAUGUUGCUCAUCCGUUCAGCAAUGAUUCAUUGAGCACCUCUUCAGCAAUUCUGCAAUUUUGUAAGGUUUUUUAUGACGACAUCCAUUGGCCACCUCCCAAGGUGGACGGACACUAGCCAUCCCACACACCAGAGCUUGACCCUCCAUCACUCUGUUCAGUGGGUGAAGUCUGGAAGCUGGUUGAGGACAAAGGGACUCUGAGUUACACAUGUGAACUUUUCUUACAGCAGAAGAGUAUAAAGGGAUCAGCCAAAGUAAGGAUUCAAGAAAUCCACCUGCACUGAAUGGGGAAUUGAAUUCUUGCACACUCCAGAGUGGGAUGGAAGCACGAAAUUGCUUUAAACUAUUUUUACAACUGGUCAGCCAUUGUGCUAGGUCUGAGAUUUUCCCUAGUUCAUGAAAGGUUUUUAAUAAUUCUGCACAUUUUUGGAACCACUCAGGGUAAG